rnacentral:antisense_RNA from 1 species
GGUCCAAGUAGGCUAAAUCCAGUCCAGAGUUUGUGAACGUUCUCAGGGAAUACUAAAGCUAAGGGGCAGCAAAAUUAAUAGCACCAAAUCUGUGGAGCUAGAAGAUGUGGAUUCAAACUCCUGCUGCACAUCUUGUAUGCUUUUUGAUUUUGAAAGAGUUUUUUUUUUUUCCUUUUUGAGCCUUGGCUUCCAUAUACACAAAAUGAAGUUACCAGUAAUAUCAACCUUAUAGGGGAUGGCCUGGAUCCUGCCAUGUAAAUCAAAGAAGAGAGGGCCUAACUUAGCUGCCUAGCCUGGAUCACCUGGAACCCAUUAGGAUACAGGAUCAUAAACACCUCUAUUUUCCCUUCAGAGAGAGACCAGAACCACUGGAGUUAAGCUACCUGCAUAAGAGUUGAGUGCGAUCAGCUGUACUUAAUCUUUAAAUGUCCAACCCACCGAUAACCUUUGGUUUGCUUUGAUAACUAUGAAAUAAAUUCU